GGGGUUGUGGCUCAGUGGUAGAGUGCUCACCUAGCACAUGGGAAGUGCUGGGUUCAAUCCUCAGCACCA
rnacentral:tRNA from 1 species